rnacentral:tRNA from 1 species
GUUUUAAUAGUUUAAAUAAAAACAAUGAUUUUGUAAAUCAUAAAUAGGUUAUACACUUUUAAAACU